rnacentral:lncRNA from 1 species
UAUCUCCAUAUAGAAUGUUCUCCUUGAAACAAAGGUCUGUUUCAUGUUUUUGUAUCCCUAGCACAUAGCAUAUUGUCUAACAUAGUUGGUUCUUAAUAAAUGUUUGGUGGCUGAUUGACUAAAUGCUGAUACCUCAUAUUGGACUUAACUUGUAAAACAGAUAGGUAUACUAGAUAGAAUGCUGGCCUCACAGUCAGGAAGACCUGAGUCUGACUUCUGUUUCUCAUAUUUAUUGGCUGUAUGAUCUUGGAUAAAUUAUUUUAUGUGUCACUGUUCCAUGUGCCUCUCAAGACUAUACAAUGAAAAGUACAUUUGGUUUGGCCAACUGGAUUGGUAGGGGAAGUUUCUUGUCUGAGAAUUAAUUCCCUAUAUUGAUGAAACAACAAAUCUAGUCCCUCAAAUACUACACUUAUCUGUAAUAUGUUUAUAUUUCUUUCCACUAGGAUAUAAUUAUCACCACGAUAAGGACUGCUUUAUUUUUACAUCCCCAGUGCCACUGCAGUGCCUUCUACAAGCAAGCACUUAAUAAAUUUUCACUUAAUCGAAUUUAGUUGGCAAUGGGAAGCCAUCAAAACCUUUUGUUGAGAAAUGUUUGGCUGUGAAGCACUUCUCCCUCCAGAGUCAGGGAGAAGCAGGAUGUGUUUCCUUCGAUCUACGAAGAUCUUUGAAGACCAUGUGGAGGGAGAACACGGAGAGAAGAAGAUGAGGUGAAACUUUUUAUUCUUCAGAACUAUGGCGGCUUAGAGAAAGCUGAAGUUCAGAUCUCCGGAAAACCCUUCCCGACCGAUCUCAAACUAGAAGCUCCUAAGGCGCCAAAAUUCAAAACGAUCAACAGCACAGACCCUGGGAACCCUCCUCCUGGACCUGGACCCGGUUCAAAAGGUACGGCUCCCCUUAAAAGCCAGAACCCGAGAUCCCUCGGACCUCAGGGGUAGGAGCGCAGAGUCCAAGGCUCCCGGAAGCGGCAGCCGCGCCGGGCUCAGAGAGCAGGGUCUGAGGAACAACAACCCUCAGGGUCUUCUACCCAAGACCCAGUCUGGGUGAAAGUUACUGCCUGGGGCUUCCGAUGCAGA